UGUAUGCAUUCAUUUAAGUCGCUCUGGAUAAGAGCGUCUGCUAAAUGACGUAAA
rfam:Salmo salar isolate Sally breed double haploid chromosome ssa01, whole genome shotgun sequence.